rnacentral:rRNA from 1 species
ACGAACGCUGGCGGCGUGCCUAAUACAUGCAAGUUGAGCGCUGAAGGUUGGUACUUGUACCAACUGGAUGAGCAGCGAACGGGUGAGUAACGCGUGGGGAAUCUGCCUUUGAGCGGGGGACAACAUUUGGAAACGAAUGCUAAUACCGCAUAAAAACUUUAAAUACAAGUUUUAAGUUUGAAAGAUGCAAUUGCAUCACUCAAAGAUGAUCCCGCGUUGUAUUAGCUAGUUGGUGAGGUAAAGGCUCACCAAGGCGAUGAUACAUAGCCGACCUGAGAGGGUGAUCGGCCACAUUGGGACUGAGACACGGCCCAAACUCCUACGGGAGGCAGCAGUAGGGAAUCUUCGGCAAUAGACGAAAGUCUGACCGAGCAACGCCGCGGGAGUGAAGAAGGUUUUCGGAUCGUAAAACUCUGUUGGUAGAGAAGAACGUUGGUGAGAGUGGAAAGCUCAUCAAGUGACGGUAACUACCCAGAAAGGGACGGCUAACUACGUG